rnacentral:lncRNA from 1 species
AUACUAUAAGAAGUAUCAAACCAUAAUUCAUGUAUCUUAAUAGUCUCUAACCUAAUUGUCAAAUAGGUGUCGAAAUAAAUCAUUUCAAUAGUAUGAUAUAAUAUUUUACUAUGACCUAGUUUUUAAGAUCUAGUGAAUUUUAAUAUAUUUAUGUUUUAUGAUGUGUAGAUCAUGAUUGAUAAAGUAAAUCUUUUUAGAUGACUA